UACGAAGGGGGCUAGCGUUGCUCGGAAUCACUGGGCGUAAAGCGCACGUAGGCGGGUCGUUAAGUCAGGGGUGAAAUCCUGGAGCUCAACUCCAGAACUGCCUUUGAUACUGGCGAUCUCGAGUUCGGGAGAGGUGAGUGGAACUGCGAGUGUAGAGGUGAAAUUCGUAGAUAUUCGCAAGAACACCAGUGGCGAAGGCGGCUCACUGGCCCGGUACUGACGCUGAGGUGCGAAAGCGUGGGGAGCAAACAGG
rnacentral:rRNA from 1 species